ACCAUGUCGAGGGAACAAACCAUCUGCCUCUGUGAGGAGACGACCCCCAAACUGGUGCUCCCUGGGUGGUCGAACUCAACAACCCAAACUCCUCCGCGGCUCUGAGUUUAAACGUGGUGCGAGGAUGUCAACAUGCAUUUUCAAUUGAAUGACUUGAAAAGACUUGGAGAUUAAGUUAAUGACUUUCAGUUUUUAAUUUUGGGGUUAGUUGGGUCACAAGUAAGGAUGUAUAAAAAAGUGUGAAAAAAAAGCAUAUAUUUCAAUCAUUAUUAGCCUAAUAUGGAUCUUUUAAGCCUGAAAUCCAUCUGAAAAGAAAAGUUCGCCCAAAAAUGAAAAUUCCAUCAAUAUCACUCACACCGAUGGAAAGUCAGGUAAAAUUUGGUUUUCCAAAAACAACAUUUUUAGGGCUGCACAGCAAAACAGGGUUGCAGCAUUUUCCCUAGACAUCUGAAGUAGAUGGGGACUUGUUUUAAAACAUAAAGAAAUAUUGAAAUGGCGUAAUCCAAGUCUCAAGAGGCCCUGUGACUGCAAAGUGAUUUGCAAAUAUAUCAUUUAAACCUUAUUUAAACCUGAAAUUUUCUUGACAUCAAGGGAGUAAAUAACAGUUUUUCAAAUGAAAUGGGUAUCUUGGUGCAUAGUGAGACUUGAUGAGGAUGAGACAUUACAAUUUUUUUUCAGUUAUUUUUUAAUGUUUUAUAAAAAAAUCUCCAUCUGUUUCAGGUGUUUCAGAGAAUGAUGCAACACUGUUUUGACACGAAUCUCCAGAAACGUUUUGUGGACCUGAAAUGUAAGGGUAAGUAGACAAUGAUUGAAUUAUCAUUUUUGGGUGAACGUAUCCUUUAAAACAAGCUUCAUGGUCAUUGUUUCAUUUCAAUCAAUUGUGCUGGAAUGGACACAAAACCAGUAAUGUGCUGUUGUCCAAACACCUGCCUGUAGUUAUUACAGCAGUCUGUAACCAUGCAGGAUCCUUUCACCUGUACUUGUUGUAUUGCAGUGCCCAUGUAGUAGAAGCCAUCCACCUCCCUCCUGGCCAGCACUCGGCAUCCUGGGAAGAACUCUGGACUCAGGGUUUGACCAGACAGCAUGCAGGAGGUAACAGGACGGAGAGGAUUACCCAGACUGCACCUGGGAAGCCAAGCAAUGUCUCACAAGUCAUUGAGCUGAUGAUUUUUAUUGACAGCAACGUUGUACACACAAAUAGUAUCUUAGAUGUAUUUCUGUUAGAAAGGUCAUAAAAUACGGGCCAAUGUUGGUGACAAACCUGAGCAGAGGGGCUGAAGUGUUUUGUGGGACUGAGACUGAAGUGGAAGGCCAGCAACACUUGACUGAAGAGAGUGUUGCCCUGGUUGGUUAAGCCAUACCUUCUCCAGACCUCCAUUCAAACCAACUGCAAUCACGUAACAGCUCCCUCCUGUGGCUUGCGUCAGACACUGCAGUUAAUACACAGAGUGGCUACAUUACCUGCUGUUUCUAUGCCGUCGGCUGCAGAUGACAGCCUCUCCUCACUGUUGAUGUCCGUUUCUAUGGAGAACGCUUCAAGACUGAGUCAGUCUUCCUCAUGGCCACUGGAGGGGCUGUUCACCCAGCAGCUGACCGGAGAGUGUCACCAAACACUGCUGUCAUGCUAAAACAUGAUCACACUCGAGGCUACAAGAAUGCUACUCAUCGGCGACGCUACAUGAGGAACUGUCAGUGGCAGCAGCUUCUGUGCAAACUGCUGCCGGUACGUUAAAAAAAAACAAAAAAACAAAAAAAAC